GUCAAAGUAAAAACAGAUCAUUCACGCAGAAUCAUUGUCAUAGCGACGACAGUGGGGGCUGGUGUGUUUUUUAGCAUCAUACUUAUCGUCUUAUUGCUAAAAUACAAACGGCGGAAGAUGGCUCCAAUGUUAUCAACGCCUGUACACGAGGCAGUUGAAACUGCACCUGAAUCUUUGCCAAUUGAACAGGUAAUUUAUCCAUGGUUAUGAUACGGUGUUGCUGAAUGGUUGUUACAUACUGUAUAUGGGCCUCCAGGGACAGUAGUUUUGAACUAAUAUAAUAGAGAUAUCCAACAUAUGGUUUAGUUUCAGUGGCGUAGCCAGCCAACCGAUUUAGUUUAAGUUUUCUGUGGUAAUACUGAACCAAUUACCAAUGGGGUUGACCGUUGUUGGAUUACAGUUCAGAACUGAUAUCCAGAGUAGAUAAAAUCAAUUUAGUAUAAGCUUCCUACUUGACUAAUCAGAAUGACCUUCACUUUCCCUAGAUAGAACAGAGCUAUCCAGUGUAAACACAUUAGUUUAUUUAGAUUUCCUCUUGUGAUAACAGCCUAAUAAUAGCAAAUGAGCGUUCUAGAUUUCGAGAGAGAACGAUUUAGAACUGAUAGAGCUACAGUAUCCUAUAUAAAUAAAGUUGGUUAAGUUUAAAAGUCUUCCUUUUGUAGUAAAACUGGAUCAGCAUAAGGCAUUGCCUAAGUUCUCUCCAUGUCUUGCUCGAAUAGGGUCCAUCCAGUCUAGACCUAGUCUCUCUCGCAGGCGUUCUUAUAGCUCUAACCCUCGCUAACUAACGUCUGCUGAAACGAGCUGCACAUUCCAUUCCCUCCGAUCGACCAAUCACAGCGAACCUUCUAUAUUUCGCAAAGUGAUUUACGGGCGGAAUAAAUAGUACAUAAAUAUUUCUAUAAUUAUUUUGAAAGCAGUCGUCGGUUGAAUUUUGGUCAAAAUUGCACCUAAAUUGAAUUUAAAGACAUUGAUACUUGUCCAGGAAAUAAAAUGCGCCAUUAAUUAUCAGAUUCGCCAUUAAUUAUUAAAGACGUUCGGUUAUAUUUAAAACGUGGACAGGAUCCGGAUGGCAUACUCGAGGGCAUACUGUAUUAAUCUAGUAGCGACAGCAUCAAAUGCAGAAUAUAUUUCGCUGAAAUUUGAACUUUUGACAGAUAUAUAUCUUUAAGAUAACAGAAAAUUUGAUAUAAUACUGUGUCUGUGGCUUAGAAAGCGAAAUAUUAGUUUCAAAGUAAACUAAUUUGCUGUUUGAGCAACGACUUCUGACUUUUGAAUGUAAACACAACACAAAUAAAACCCGAGAAACUUUUAAUUGCGGCGAUAUGAAUUUCCAGUUCGCCCAAAUUUCGAAACGUUUAUACAUGUAACUUCGCUAUACUUUUCUACAUGCAACGAGAGCUUAAUGUCAUUCGCCUGUUGCAUAGCUUUUGCUUUUUAUAUACGCCGGUUGUUUGCAGAACAUACGAGAAGAUGAUCACAAUAUUAUUCUACGUAAACAUUGUGAAGCUCAAGGCUAUAGUUUCCAAAAAUAUCUCCAGGCAAGUAAACAAAUUUCAACCCAAACAAUACAUUCCCAUGUGCAAAAGCUUUCCCCAGUAGCUAAACCCUCAAUAAGGCGGCUUCCAAUUGGCUCUAACUCUUUUGAACAUGCACUGCCAGAUGAUUGACUCCAAAACAAAAGGAAUGGAAUGUGCAGCUCGUUUCAGCAGACGUUAGUAAUUAGCGAGAGUUAGUCUAGACCCAAUUGAAAAUGAUACUGAUCUCAUAACAGGCUAGCCAGACGAUAUUAAAAAAGAAGCCAAUUCGAGCGAGACUUAGAGCAAGUCUAGGUAUUGUCUUACUUAAAAGUACCCCUAGGGAGAACUGUUUAGAAGUGGUCGAAUUUCCAGUUUAUGAAUAAAGUUAAUCUAUUUUGUGAUCGAAUUCGAUCUCCUGUGAGGUUUUUCUCCCCCAACCCCCAUAGAACACUCACGUUUAAGCCUUUGUUAUCAAGUACGUACAUAUUGAUGAGGGUAAAUUGGAGACUACACCCUAUGUAAUCUACAUUAAUAAAUCAUGAUGACAUUGUCAUUAUUAUUGAAAUAGGGACCAGGUUAUGAAAACAUCACGAUACUUGAUGGAGAGUUUUACGAUGACAUCGUGCCAACAUCCGCUGAAGGUCAGUGAUGUCAAAAAAUUUCACUAACCCCACUUUCACUAACCUGUUAGUAAAGUGCUGUUACGUUUUUCACUGUAGAAUUUUACUAACGAAAAAUAAAGAAAAAACAAUUUACAAUAUCGUUUGACAGUGAAAAAGUUGAUAAAGAUAAGGAUUUUUCAGUACCGUAAAGAUACAUUGUAAUUGUUCUCAGAAUGAUCAAAGAAUGAUUAUUGCGCGUCCUUAAUUGAGCAACAUUCUUCCAGGUGGUAAGUUUUGUACCUCAUACGUCGCCUUCCAACUUUCCACUCGUUAGUUGACAAUAUAACGCCACUUUCGGGAUUCUGGUAUCGUCCAUUUAAGUAACCACGCGUCCAACCCAGCGUAACUAUGCUUUCAUUAUCUGGCAUUCACACUGCGAACGCCAUAAGGUUCCUUAACGUUGACAUUAGACACCUUAAGCAGCACUGUUGUAUCUGUUCCAGGAGCUUGAUGAGACGAUGAUAGGUUGUCCAUUUGUCACCAGUUGCUCGUCUCGCAUUGAAUGAUGGGAAUGCAUCAAGUUUGCAAGCGACUGCUUCCAAUAUGGCGCCAUCUUUCAUGGCGGAUGAAAAGUGAUAUUACAUAAUUAACGACCAAUUCUGAUGUUUUGAUUUAGCAUGCCAAGUUUGGACAUAUACCGUAAUGAAUGUGUUUUGUAUUCUAGUUAUUAUUUGUGCUCAAAUAUUGAAGUCUGCGUGUGACGGUUCGAACAACUGAACUGAACUAAUCUGUACUCUUUAUUGGGCAUGUACGCAGUGCGCAUAUUUUUGCAAAUGUUUUUAUGCCGAUCCAAAAGAAUGUAAUAGUACAUGUAGUAUUGUGCUUAUAUGUACAUUGUCAUAAAUCAUGAUUACGCACUCAAGUCCUUAUUAGUACUAUUGUUACAAAUUAGAACAAUAUAUAGACUUUAGAAUUGUUUAGACCUAUACAUGUACAUCAAUUAAAACGUCAGCAAGUUUUAUUAAAAUUGCCCAAAAGCAUAUCGCGUAAAUUCCAGCAUGAGUUGCAAUGGACUGUUAAUGUUCCAAAGCUCCUCAAUUUCAGAAAUUUACGUCUGCCACUUUUUGACUAUUUUGCCAGCUUUUCGACACACGAUUUCGCACUAUCUUAAAAUUUUAGUUAGAGCAUUCCCAUGAGCCUUUGCAUCUAUUGUUCCAACCCGCAAGCGCCUGUCAAUUUCCUCCAGCAUUAUCAUUAUUAUCAAUGUGGAAGAGUCGGGCGUUGAGCAAUUUCAUUCUUGUCACGAGCGGGCUGAUAGAUGAUCUUAAUCUUCCUGCUAUAUUGAUGGUCAAACCAAAUCUCUCGGCCGCAGGAAAAUAGUAGGUUGGACCGACAUUGUGUCGAUGUUCUGUUGUCGAGUCGACAUAUCUCUUGAAACUCAACAUCCGCUUAGAGUGAAACGUGCCAAAAUCUUACCUUACCACAAAUGGUAUGGUUGCCUUUCAAAGAACCCAUGAGCUCUUUAAGAGCAGCUCCUCUUGCUCCACGUAAAGAUCUCCGUUCUUGUAUAUCCAUGAAGCUGUGAUCCCAUCGACACCCGGAGCUUUGCCCAAGAAAGUUUGUUUGAUGACUUUCGUUACCUCAGUUAGUGAAGAAGGUGGGUCUAGUGGUUUUAGAAUCAUUCUUUGUGGAAUAAUACUGUAUUUUGUGCAUUCUUAGACAUUGAAGAUGGUCGGUUUAGUAGGAUGUGCUCUACUCAUCGAUUUAAGAUUUCAGACAUGUCAGGAAGAUUAAAAGCCUUCCCAUCUACGCAAUUUACGUGUGGCGAACUGCCCUAACACCUUCGUAAGACGAUGUAAUGCUGUGCUUAUACUUCCCACCAUGCCUGUUGUACGGCUGGUGUAGCCUUUUUUGGACCACGUAUUUCCUAUUAAAAUACAUUGAUGACUUUUUGUCAGCUGAAAUUCUGUGAUUGACGCAGUUCUUGUGUGUUUGUGCAUCACUUCAAGUGGAUUUAUAACCGCUUUGUCAUUUUCAUUAAAACCGGUGAGGAUGUUUUACGUUUAUAAAACCUGAACAACAGUACUUGUGGAGUAGAUGGCAUCUUUGAACAGUUUACAGUCACACUUUCGAUAUCCAUGUCUCCUGUGUCGCCAGGAAAGACUGCUUGCUGGAUAGUUUUCUUUAGAUUGUCACUAAUACCCUCUACUUGGAUAGCAGGGACGUUGAAUUUCCGUGGUGCCUUAUUCGUCUUUGUCUUCAUCUUACUGGUAAUUAACCUGAAGAGACAUUUUGCUUCUUACCACUCUGUGGUCUGACCAGCAUUCAGUCCCACAGAUAGCUCUUGCCACCAUGAUAUAAAAAAAAAUGUCUAAAUGGUUUUAUAUAUACUUGUUAGGAAACUGGAAUGUGGUAUAGCCUGUAGGCUGUACUCACUGCAUUCCUCCAAAAAUAAGCUGUCCAUUGACUACUCCAUUCUAUGUUUGCAGAGCACAUGCACUUUUUCCGAACAUCCGAUGCACGUCUAACGUGCAUGCAUUGAAGGUCCCAAUCUUGGCCAUCGCUUAUUUUAUUAUAUUGAUUGACCAGAUAACUUAAACACAUUGGACAUCUUAAUUUAACAUAACUAUUUAGACCACCAAAACAGUUGGGAAAACCAAAAAGAUUACAAUUUUUCAAUUCCUCUUCAAAAGCAUAAAUAAUGCACAGUCCAUAAUGUAAAGGUUUAUAUUUUUCUUAAAGGCAGAACAUCACUUUACGAA
rnacentral:lncRNA from 1 species